rnacentral:lncRNA from 1 species
AUGUCUGAUGAAUUUUCGUUGGCAGAUGCACUACCUGAACACUCCCCUGCCAAAACCUCUGCUGUGAGCAAUACAAAACCUGGCCAACCUCCUCAAAGCUGACCAGGCUCCAACCCUUGGAAUAAUCCGAGUACUCCACCUUCGGUGCCAUCUGGACUCCCACCAAGUGCAACACCCUCCACUGUGCCUUUUGGACCAGUACCAACAGGAAUGUAUCUCUCCGUGCCUCCCACCGGACCACCUCCAGGACCCCCAGCACCCUUUACUCCUUCUGAACCAUCAUGCCCCCCACCUGGUGGUCCUUAUCCAGCCUCAACUGUGCCAGGCCCUGGCCCAUAGGGCCAUAUCCUAUACCAAAUAUGCCCUUUCCAGAGCUACCCAGACCAUAUGGUGCUACCCACAGAUCCAGCUGCAGCUGGUCCUUUAGGUCCAUGGGGAUCCAUGUCUUCUGGACCUUGGGUGCCAGGAAUGGGAGGGCAGUAUCCUACCCCUAAUAUGCCCUAUCCAUCUCCAGGGCCAUAUCCUGUUCCUCCUCCUCCCCAAGCCUCUGGGGCAGCACCACCUGUUCCAUGGGGCACCGUUCCACUAGGAGCCUGGGGACCACCAGCACCAUAUCCUGCCCCUACAGGAUCGUAUCCCACACCAGGACUCUAUCCUACUCCUAGUAAUCCUUUCUAAGUGCCUUCAGGACCUUCUGGUACUCCACUGAUGCCUGGUGGCCCCCAUUCUUACCAUU